AACAACUAUUGCUAUUUUUUCGCUUUCUGGUGUCCGUCUCCUCUAUUGCACCUCGUCGUGGGAUCGGGACUCCACGGGCGGGCAGUGAUGGCACAACCGGUGGGCCGGCCGAUGGUGGCAGAUGCCGCGGCGAGACGGGCGGAAUGCGCAGCGGCAGCAGCAGCCGGGGUUCGGGCAGACGGUGGCGGGGAUCUUGCUGAUGGCGCUGCUCUCGUACUUCGCCAUGAAGUUCUUUGGCCCCAAGAGGCCCGCGGAGCCGUUCCAGCUCAUCUCCAAUCUCUUCCACAAGGGCGACUCGUUGUUGAAGAAUGAUAAUCGUGUUGAAGCCAAGGAUGAGGGCCCUGUAGAUUGGGUUUCAUAUUGGAAACCAAAUAUCACAAUAAACUUUGUUGAUAAUUUUACAAGCUUUAGUUCUGAACUCCUGGAGUUUGGGACAUCAGUAUGUGAUUUGCACCAGUAAUGAGGUGUGGCAAGCUUGAUUCUGGAUGAAAAGGUUUCAUCUCUCUGCAGUGGGAGGAAAAAGAUACGACAUGCUUACAGCAGUAUGCCAUUGCUUUUGAUGAGAAAGCGCUGCACCAGUUCAGGUGAGAGUGGAAGAUCAAGUCACUGCAAUCUUUGCAGGCUGAAAUAUAACCAUCCCUGCUACUGCAGAUGCCAUCACUGCAAGUCCAACCUCUGGUGGCUGGGAGCUACUUCUUUAUGAUAUGAACUUGAUCUGCUGCAGGGCACAGUAUUCCACUGCUGGAUAAAAAUUGCUCUCUGAGUUUCACAUUUCUAUAAACUUGCCUCAGUUAUUUAGCAUUGGAGCUUUAGCUUCUAUCUUCACUUGUGGCAGUGACCAACAUAUCAGGAUAAAUGGAUCCAAGUGACUGACUUGUGGUG